UACGUAGGUGGCAAGCGUUGUCCGGAAUUAUUGGGCGUAAAGCGCACGUAGGCGGUUCGUUAAGUCAGAUGUGAAAGCCCCCGGCUCAACCGGGGAAGUGCAUCUGAAACUGGCGAGCUAGAGUACGAAAGAGGGUCGCGGAAUUCCCGGUGUAGAGGUGAAAUUCGUAGAUAUCGGGAGGAACACCGGUGGCGAAGGCGGCGACCUGGGUCGAUACUGACGCUGAGGUGCGAAAGCGUGGGGAGCAAACAGG
rnacentral:rRNA from 1 species